CUAGAUCUUAAAAUCUGCGUUUGCGUCACUAAACCUACAUUCUUCUGCAAGGCAUCUGACCUUUGUAAGGUAUGAGGCUUUUAUUCCGGAUUUCCAUGCUGAACGAAGGCCAGGAGAAAUGGCUCGGUGCAGAAAUAAUACUUCAUCAGACUGACCUAGUUUGCAGGACCGCGGGUGCUUGCAAAGGAUAAUUAUCUUCUGUGAAUCGUUUCCAUCAAUGCAUCAGUCAAUCAAUCUUCACCAACACCACACGCCAUCAGCAACUCCAUUUUGUUGUUUCUUCUAAUGGAAGCGGCUCUCCAUGAGAGUUCUGAUGAGUUCGAGUGAUGAACGAGGACACAGUUUGGUGAGAGUCAUGGAGUACAGUAGUCAGUUCCUUCAUCACUUGGAUCUCAAGUCAAAGGAAAGUGGGCCAGUUUUGAGAGAGGUUUGCGGUCACUCGCAUAAUUUUUUUAGUGGAAAACUGCAUGCAAUUUGA
rnacentral:lncRNA from 1 species